GGAGGGGUGGCUGAGUGGUCGAAAGCACCGGUCUUGAAAACCGGCGUAUCGAGAGGUACCCAGGGUUCGAAUCCCUGCCCCUCC
rnacentral:tRNA from 1 species